rnacentral:rRNA from 1 species
UACGUAGGGGCCUAGCGUUGUCCGGAUUUAUUGGGCGUAAAGAGCUCGUAGGCGGCUUGGUUAGUCAGGUGUGAAAUCUCCACGCUCAACGUGGAGGCGCCACCUGAAACUGCCAUGGCUUGAGUCCGGUAGGGGAGUGUGGAAUUCCCGGUGUAGCGGUGAAAUGCGCAGAUAUCAGGAAGAACACCGGUGGCGAAGGCGGCUCGCUGGGCCAGUUCUGACACUCAUCCGCGAAAGCGUGGGGAGCAAACAGG